rnacentral:rRNA from 1 species
AUUGAACGCUGGCGGCAUGCCUUACACAUGCAAGUCGAACGGCAGCACGGGUGCUUGCACCUGGUGGCGAGUGGCGAACGGGUGAGUAAUACAUCGGAACAUGUCCUGUAGUGGGGGAUAGCCCGGCGAAAGCCGGAUUAAUACCGCAUACGAUCUACGGAGGAAAGCGGGGGACCUUCGGGCCUCGCGCUAUAGGGUUGGCCGAUGGCUGAUUAGCUAGUUGGUGGGGUAAAGGCCUACCAAGGCGACGACCAGUAGCUGGUCUGAGAGGACGACCAGCCACACUGGGACUGAGACACGGCCCAGACUCCUACGGGAGGCAGCAGUGGGGAAUUUUGGACAAUGGGCGAAAGCCUGAUCCAGCAAUGCCGCGUGUGUGAAGAAGGCCUUCGGGUUGUAAAGCACUUUUGUCCGGAAAGAAAUCCUUGGCCCUAAUACGGUCGGGGGAUGACGGUACCGGAAGAAUAAGCACCGGCUAACUACGUG